CAGUGUUGUUAACAAUUCAUGGCGUGUGUUUCUGUGUCGGAGGCAGGAGGGAGCUGAAAAGAUGCAGUUUUAUCUCCAAAGGAAAAGAUGAAUGUUGAAUAAAUGGAUAAAUGGUGCCUAAACUGUGACAACAUCACAUUGUUCCAAAUCACUCCAACUGUGUGGGAUCUCUCCAUCUCCAAGCCAGCAAGUGCUUCUUUGCACCCCAGCUCUAAAACAAAGCCCUUGGGGACACAGUCAAAGACAGUAGUUGCCAAGAGGAAUAGGGAGCAUGGAAAGAAGGUGAGAUAUUGUUGGCCUUAACAGCGUGCUGGAUGUGCAUACAGCUAACCUGGUAACUCCAAACUGGAUGAGCUCAUUCCUUGAGACUGGAAUUACAAAAUUGGAACAGCUCACUAAUAAUUGAAGAUGAUUUGGAAAAACCAUUAUCCUUCCUCAGGUUUUACAAGGUUUUUAUGACUCAUUUAUAAGGUCCUACAGCUAAAAAAAAUCAUGCUGUAUUUCAGAGAAGUUUAACUUGAAAAU
rnacentral:lncRNA from 1 species